CAGUAAUCCAGUUAAUGUGAUUUCAUUGUCUGUGGGAUGGGAGGAAAUAAUCCUGUAAAAACCUUGUGCAGGUUUUCCCUUAGCUCUAGCAGCAGGAACAGUUGACUUGUAAAGAACAUGUUGUACCUGACCAAGUGAACCACUGAGGGCCCAAGGUAGGUCAGUUGUUGCCUUUGCUUGUGUGCUGGAAAUGGCAGUUACAGGAGCAACAUAUUUCAGAUAGUGAUACACCAGGCGCAGCGGAGAAGGCGUUUUUCAGAGCAUCUGGUCCUUUGGAUGGAUGGACACACAGAUGGAGGAGUUCUGAGUGACUGAACAUUACUGAGGUUAUUUAGCAAGCUGGCACAGAUAUGUUUCUCCACUAGGAAGCCUGCAGUGGAGCUGAAGGCCAUUACAACUGAAAACCUGGAACUAAAAGGACAGAAGGAGCCUUUGUUGAGAUUAACUGUGUAAGGAUACAGUACAAUAAUUCACUGCUGUGGUACCUGUUGGGGUGAGGAAGCCUCAUUAACUUGGCUUGGGCUGUGAGCUGAGUGUCAGGAACACAUACGGUCGGCUGGAAUUCAGCAUGGACUGGGACUUGCACUUUUAUUGUUGAGGUACUUGUAUACUGCAAUGCACUUCUGUCAGCAUUGAGCACGAGGAGGGAAAACCAGUGAGAUUUAAAAACCAUCUCAAUCAAAGAAUGGGGAGAUAACGCGUUUGGAACUUACUCCAGCCUAGACCCAUGGUGUUUUUAGCUUUUCUGGUUAAAUAUAUUAAGCCAACUGUUGUUGUGUUUUAUGCAGUACAUUAAACAACUUAAUCAUACUGUCCUCUCUUGCAUUAAUAAAUUUAGCAUUUGUAUUCCUGAAGCAGCUGUUUUCUUCUCUUGCUCUAUUUCAGCUCUUCCUCAGAAUACAAAUUUCAGCUCAUUUCCAUUUUUUCCAGACCUAAUACUUUAAAAGUUUUGUUUUUCUUUUGCUGGUUUGUUGGAGUAUUUUUUUAACCUUCUAGUCCAAAACUGGAGUGCUUUGAGGAACACUGCUGCACAUUUCCAAUAAAUAAUCCCUUUGGUUCUAUUUCCCAGUAUUCCUGAACAUCCUUCUGGAAGGAAGGUGUCCUGGGGCGGUAUCUUGGAGACAGAAGAGCUUGUUCCUCGUCUUGAGUUUUACUUGAUUGCUUUCAUGCAGGACUAAUUGCCAUGUUUUCACAGGCCUUUUUUUCAACUCUGGACUUGUAAAGGCUAUCAAGGCUAGGUGCUCAAGCAGCUGGGAGGUGACGCAGCUGGGACAGGGAUAUCCCAUACUGUAUCAGACUGUGCUUGGCAAUGAAAGCUCAUGAACAGUGGUGUGGGAAAUUUUGUCUGACACAUCUGAAAAUGCUGCUCCAAGGAUACUUGUGACGCAUUCCUAUGGCCGCCCAUUCAGUGACCAACCGUCCUGCUAAAGGGAUUUCAUUCCACCAUAUAAGUGUUACUGUAUCUCAAGAGCAUGAUUAGUUUUAUUAUUAUUUAAGCAGUCUGUCUAUGUAGCAAAGGGGGUAAGCAAAGGAUGAAGCUGAGGAACAAUCUAGUUAGGUUAGAGGUCAGUUUUGCAGCACUCAUUUAGUCUACUAUAGAAGCAGACUGCUGACUAGACUAAGAUUUUGCAUUUCUUAUGUGCAUACUACACUGAGUGUUAUGUGGCAAUGUCUGAAAGCGCAGUAUAUCUUAAAACAGGAGGAGGCAAUUUAGAAAGAAUUGCUUGUAGCUUUUUAAGUUUUAAACACAGCCUUCCUGGGAGUUUUGCAUACUAUUAUCAGGCCAAAACAUCAUUUUAACGCUGUAGGAAUUAACACAACAUGUUCCACAAAGACUCAAGGAAGCUGUCUAAAGUUCUAACAUUAGUAAUGCUUGAGGAAAAAACUUCUGCAAACACUGCAGGAUACUGCAAAUUGCAGUGCUGGAAUCUGUUUUAUUUUAGCUGACUACCAUCUAGUGCUCUACUGUUAUUUUUCCUCAGAUCCUGCUUUUGUGUGCUACAUGAAGGAAAGCGUAUGUUUUGUUUUAUUGCCUGUACUGUGCCAGCAAACAUGCAGAAUAAGAAUGACUGAUAUUCUGUGAGAUUUCUUAUCCUUCAUGAUAUGAUUUCUUUAACAGCUAUUCUUACUCUUCUCCGUAUGUAUUCUUGGUGCUGAAUGCAAUUCAUCAUUGCACAUCUUUUUUCUUUCUGCUGUUCUUUGUGUUUUCAACUUUUUCUGGCUUAGAGGACAGCAGAGUUGUAGCAAUCAUUGUUAAGAAAAGGAAGGCAAAAUGAGAGCUCUCAUUAUUGCUGAUCCAGGGCUGCUUUCUCACAUCAGGUAUUAACAAACCUUUAAUAGAAACCCAUGAUUUAUUUUGUGAGGUCGUUAUUAAGGAAACCUUGGGUCUGAGGGUCUUUCUCCCCUUCUCCCCCUUCCCCUCCAAACAAAAAGGGGGGGGGGGCAUAUGCAUUAAUAAGAGGAGAUUGCAGUGUUGUCCAGGAUUGGAAAAUGAGGGACUGGUUUGUUAAUUCCUUGUUUCCUGUGCUGAGAAUUCCCACAAAGAUUCCUGUAAGUGGUAAGGUUUUGGCUCUACCUAUUGACGGAACAACUGGAACACCUCCAGCAAGCUUAAUUUAUUAUAAGCCACUUCAUAACCAUACAUUCAAAGUAAGUGUCAGUUUCUUGCAAAGUGCCUAAAAAGGUGAAGGCAUUUUAAUUGUUUGUACUAUUUAUGGAUCACACUUGUAACAGGACUGAAUUGAUGCAGAGAUCUCUAUAGAUGGAGAGUGACAGUGUUUACACUGAGGAGGUUCAAAAGCCCAACUUGCAAUUAUAAAGUUGCUUCACUGCAUUAGGAGGUCACUACCUUUAUAAAGACAUUACAGCGGAGGGCAAUGAAAAGGAAUGAGUCAAAGUGGUUUUUAUAGAAGUCACCCAGCAAGUCAGCAGUAGAGUAAGGAAUAAAUUUCAAGUCCUGUGAGUCCCAGACCAGUGUCUUUGAAGCAAAUUCUACUGCUCCAGAAAUCUCAUUACCGACUGAACAGACCAUAUGAACGUAAUUGUGUUACACACAUUGUACCAGUUGGCAAUCACUGUGCCCUGUUUAAAAACCCCAGUGUGUUAAAUCUGAUUAACCAUCACCUGUGUCUGAUUAUCAAAAAAUCCAUGACAGAUGGAAUGUCAUCAGUACUGGCAUGCUAUGAUCUCGUCUGAACUAAACACAUCUGGAAUCUAAAGUUAUGGGAGAGUUGUAAGCACUCACUGCCAGAGUUGGCAAUAGAAGUGUAUUGAAAACCCUGAAGGCUGGGCAGGAGGAUUCUGCAUGAUUCUUUCAGGCUUCCUAGGUUGUUUUAACCAGUGCUUAGAAACCAGAAACGUAACUUGUGGUUAUAUUACUCUAACCAUUCUGUGAAGAACACUUUAAGAUUACAGAAAAAGUUACAACUGUGUCACUCUUUAUAGAUGCAAA